rnacentral:rRNA from 1 species
CCUACGGGUGGCAGCAGUCGAGAAUCAUUCACAAUGGGGGAAACCCUGAUGGUGCGACGCCGCGUGGGGGAAUGAAGGUCUUCGGAUUGUAAACCCCUGUCAUGUGGGAGCAAAUUAAAAAGAUAGUACCACAAGAGGAAGAGACGGCUAACUCGGUGCCAGCAGCCGCGGUACUACAGAGGUCUCAAGCGUUGUUCGGAAUCACUGGGCGUAAAGCGUGCGUAGGCGGUUUCGUAAGUCGGGUGUGAAAGGCGCGGGCUCAACCCGCGGACGGCACAUGAUACUGCGAGACUAGAGUAAUGGAGGGGUAACCGGAAUUCUCGGUGUAGCAGUGAAAUGCGUAGAUAUCGGGAGGAACACUCGUGGCGAAGGCGGGUUCCUGGACAUUAACUGACGCUGAGGCACGAAGGCCAGGGGAGCGAAAGGGAUUAGAUACCCCUGUAGUC